AGGAACCGUUGAUUCGCAC
rnacentral:snRNA from 1 species